rnacentral:rRNA from 1 species
AGAGCGAACGCUGGCGGCAGGCCUAACACAUGCAAGUCGAGCGCCCGUAGCAAUACGGGAGCGGCAGACGGGAUAGUAACACGUGGGAACGCGCCCUUCGGUUCGGAAUAACUCAGGGAAACUUGAGCUAAUACCGGAUACGCCCUUACGGGGAAAGAUUUAUUGCCGAAGGAACGGCCCGCGUCCGAUUAGCUAGUUGGUGAGGUAAUGGCUCACCAAGGCGACGAUCGGUAGCUGGUCUGAGAGGAUGACCAGCAUCACUGGGACUGAGACACGGCCCAGACUCCUACGGGAGGCAGCAGUGGGGAAUAUGGACAAUGGGCGCAAGCCUGAUCCAGCCAUGCCGCGUGGAUGAUGAAGGCCUUAGGGUUGUAAAGUUCUUUUGCCAGGGAGAUAAUGACGGUACCUGGAGAAUAAGCACCGGCUAACUUCGUGCCAGCAGCCGC